rnacentral:rRNA from 1 species
CCUACUGGUGGCAGCAGUGGGGAAUAUUGCACAAUGGGGGAAACCCUGAUGCAGCGACGCCGCGUGUGGGAAGACGGUCCUCUGGAUUGUAAACCACUGUCCCCAGGGACGAAGAUGACGCUACCGCGGGAGGAAGCUCCGUCUAACUACACGCCAGCAGACGCGGUAAUCCGUAGGGAGCGAGGGUUGUCCGUAAUUACGGUGUGUAAAGGGAGCGUAGGCGGGGAGGAACGUUGGUGGUAAAAACUACCGGCUCAACUGGUAGUCGCACGCAAAACUGUGGGUCUGGAGUGAAGUAGAGGCAGGCGGAAUUCCGAGUGUAGCGGUGAAAUGCGUAGAUAUUAGGAGGAACACCAGUGGCGAAGGCGGACUGCUGGGCUUUUACUGACGCUGAGGCUCGAAAGUGUGGGGAGCAAACAGGAUUAGAUACCCUGGUAGUC